GGGUUCUGGCGCGUGCUUACCAUGCAAGUCGAACGGUGAAGGUGGAGCUUGCUCUGCUGGAUCAGUGGCGAACGGGUGAGUAACACGUGAGCAAUCUGCCCCUGACUCUGGGAUAAGCGCUGGAAACGGCGUCUAAUACUGGAUACGAACCACGGAGGCAUCUUCGGUGGUUGGAAAGAUUUUUCGGUCUGGGAUGAGCUCGCGGCCUAUCAGCUUGUUGGUGAGGUAAUGGCUCACCAAGGCGUCAACGGGUAGCCGGCCUGAGAGGGUGACCGGCCACACUGGGACUGAGACACGGCCCAGACUCCUACGGGAGGCAGCAGUGGGGAAUAUUGCACAAUGGGCGCAAGCCUGAUGCAGCAACGCCGCGUGAGGGAUGACGGCCUUCGGGUUGUAAACCUCUUUUAGCAGGGAAGAAGCGAAAGUGACGGUACCUGCAGAAAAAGCGCCGGCUAACUACGUGCCAGCAGCCGCGGUAAUACGUAGGGCGCAAGCGUUAUCCGGAAUUAUUGGGCGUAAAGAGCUCGUAGGCGGUUUGUCGCGUCUGCUGUGAAAUCCCGAGGCUCAACCUCGGGCCUGCAGUGGGUACGGGCAGACUAGAGUGCGGUAGGGGAGAUUGGAAUUCCUGGUGUAGCGGUGGAAUGCGCAGAUAUCAGGAGGAACACCGAUGGCGAAGGCAGAUCUCUGGGCCGUAACUGACGCUCAGGAGCGAAAGGGUGGGGAGCAAACAGGCUUAGAUACCCUGGUAGUCCACCCCGUAAACGUUGGGAACUAGUUGUGGGGUCCAUUCCACGGAUUCC
rnacentral:rRNA from 1 species